ensembl:lncRNA
AGGAAACCAAACCAGACAGGCUGUUGACAAUCAGGAUCCCGUUUAUUUGGACGACACGCCCACUGUAAACGUGAUGAUGCCAUUGUAUUUAUGGCCAAAUGUGCCGUGGCACCAGUCGAGCCGUGAGCGAGCGAAGUGAUGAGGUUGUAAUAGAGACGUCCGUCUGUUGGCUGCUGACAGGAGGCUCGUCUGUGGCAGAGUAAAUCUUUGCCUUACUGCGCCGCGUUGCCAAACAAUCGCCCUUCACGCGCGCGUGCAAAUGCGACGCCGGGAGUCCAGAUGUUGGCUCCAAAACCGCAGCAGAUCCAGCCACGGGCCCGUUUACGCCCACGCUGCAGGGUGCCACGGCUGCUCCCACUUCGCUCAGCUUCCAUCUACUGUACGUUGUUCAGAAGAUGGAGGUGGAACUGGGAAACGCAGCUUACAGGUUGGACGGCGUCUCGUGUUCUGAUCGUCUCAGAACCAAAACCACAGCAGCUUGUUCUAAACUGCUAAGACGUGAUCGACCCUUCAACGACACCCAUCAGCCGGUCCCGUUGGUGGGGGAUCCACGAGGUCGGUCCAGGUGGCAUCGUAACAGGAGCCCGGACGGCCCCAGCUGGUUCUGGAUGUGGACCGGCAGCAGAUCCGCUCAGCUGUGGCAGCAGUUGGGCCCUAGAAGCGUGACAGUGCAGCUACAUUUAACUGGACGAGCCAAAGAUAAGAGUGAAAUCUGUGUCCAGCACGGGAGGCCCCAGCGGGAAUACGACCUUUGACCUUCGGCUGUGCGGCUGAUAUGAAUCCUGACACAUGUUCUUGUCCUGUGUCUGCUCUUAUCUAAUGUAGAACGUAACGACAGCACACACAGGAUGACGACAUGGAAACUUUCCACGUCCCCUGCUCCGUCGCUAUCUGCGCGGUGGAAGGGGUGGAGGUCUCCGGUUGUGUUGUUCCCAGUCAGAGGCGUGAUAAUAGUUGGCGAAUCCUCCUUUUGUGGACACGCCGCCUUAAAGAAUGCAUUCAGGUCGUUGCUCUUCAACAUACAAUCACACGAUUAUAUCUCAAGUUGCAUUAAGCUGCUGUGAAAUAGCUGAGAUUCAUUCUGUAGCUGAGCACAAGUGUUUUAUAUUAGUGUAACGUUUAGAGUCUGUGCCUGGAUCGAACACGUGUUUCAAUUUAAGGCAGUGUGAGGUUUCCCUGAUUUACGACGCUCCGUACACACUCUGCGACGUCACCUUCCGCCCGAAUGGAAAAUCCAGUCAAGUUGUGCUUUCAUGAAGAACAUCCACGCUGUAAUUUAGACGAAGUGUUUCAGCAGGAGUAAUUAAAUUACAGCAAUACACUCUGUGAUUCAGCGCGGCUGCUUAUAUUAAAGGCCCGUUCAGAGAAGACGAGUGGGAUAUUAAACGAAGAAACGCGGCCGUCCCAGCAGCCGCAUUUGGAAGGAAACCCGACGGAGCGAAUGAAAACUCGAAACCCGGCGGAGGCGAGAGGUCACGGCCGUGACAGAUGUGAGCCGGCGUCACAUCUGGUGGGCAGCGCGUGCACCGCGGAGCUAAUGGGGUGAGGGGCUGAGGGCUGGCAGAUGUCCGCCGAGGCCGCGCCUCCUAUUGACAUAGCUGCCAUCUUGGCUCCUCUUUUGAUCCGCCGGGCCGGAACGGGCCGAGCAUCCCCGCCGCUUUGUAACACGAGCCAGAUGAUGGAUCUGCUGCUGCGAGGAAUGUGCGGGCACGCGGGCGCGUACAGGAAACACUUGAGCAAACAUCUUACUGGAGC